GAUGAACGCUGGCGGCGUGCCUAAUACAUGCAAGUCGAGCGAACAGACGAGGAGCUUGCUCCUCUGACGUUAGCAGCGGACGGGUGAGUAACACGUGGAUAACCUACCUAUAAGACUGGGAUAACUUCGGGAAACCGGAGCUAAUACCGGAUAAUAUAUUGAACCGCAUGGUUCAAUAGUGAAAGACGGUUUUGCUGUCACUUAUAGAUGGAUCCGCGCCGCAUUAGCUAGUUGGUAAGGUAACGGCUUACCAAGGCAACGAUGCGUAGCCGACCUGAGAGGGUGAUCGGCCACACUGGAACUGAGACACGGUCCAGACUCCUACGGGAGGCAGCAGUAGGGAAUCUUCCGCAAUGGGCGAAAGCCUGACGGAGCAACGCCGCGUGAGUGAUGAAGGUCUUCGGAUCGUAAAACUCUGUUAUUAGGGAAGAACAAAUGUGUAAGUAACUAUGCACGUCUUGGCGGUACCUAAUCAGAAAGCCACGGCUAACUACGUG
rnacentral:rRNA from 1 species